rnacentral:lncRNA from 1 species
UCUAUAUUCCCUCAAGAGUUAAUUGAAAUUAAAUAUAUCUUAUUCAACACAAUAGAUGUUUCUUAUAACUUGAAGUGAUCAUCUCUGAUCAAAAAGUCUUAUGGCACACAGGUAGUUAUCCACAUUACUUGGUAUGGGCCACAGAUUCUGUUGUUCCAGUUUGACCAUGUCUCUGCCUGACAGCUAGAGCCAUUUCAUACUGCACACUGACCUGCAGUGAUGUGUCAUAUGGCAUUUGCUGUUGGUAUGUUUCAUUUUCUGUCCAGGCCUACAAAUUUAGCCUCGGGACAGUUGUGAACGAAUAGACUGAAGAUCUAAGGCAUUACAGGCUUCACCAUUCCAUUUUUUUCUUUUUCUGAUUCUAAAAUAUCUGUUGUAAUCUUUCUUUUAGCCCUUUAGCAUUAACAAAUUACUCAGUAAAAUGUAAUGCUUGUUUAAUCACAUUUUUUGAAUUAAUCAUGCAUUCUUGUAUCUUCAAGAUUUUAAUGAUGUAAUUGUCUAGUUUUAGUAUGGCAUUAUAGGGUAGGUUUGAGAGUCUGCAUCUAGCCACUCUAGAGCAGAUAUGGCCUAUUUAAAAACUAGAGUUAAAAUGGUUUAGUAGAGUGACACUUAGGGGAGAUCUAAAUAUCUAACCAUUUUUUUUUCUCUUCCCCUAUCCACAAAAGAAUUUUACUUAGUUUUAUCUAUCAUUUUAGAUUUUCCUAAGCAAUUUCUGUUGCAUUGUUAUUUUAUUAACUUGCUUAGUAAAACAUGAUUUAAUUAUUUUCGCCAGCUUUUUCCAAGUUUUCGCAGCAUUAGGUCAUGCUUUUAGAGAAGCAAAAAUCAAUAUGCAGGAUCUGAGCAUUUAGUAGAUUAUUAUUUAUAGAGUAAGAAAAUGCUUGUCUAUAUAUAAUCUUGAUUGGUAAGCCUUGCCUCUUUCUGCUGGUGGCUGGAUGUGUGAAGCUCGUACACUUUUGCACCAGAAGGGAUGUCAUAGUUUGUCUUACAGUUGUACAGUGUAAAUAACAACACUUUGCUUGUAUCUUCUCCCACUGUCAUAAUUGUAGGCUGUGAUUUCAAUAUAAUAUGUAAAUAUAUUACAUGUAUGCAUAUGCUAGCCUUUAAGUUUUUAAUGCUAAAGAUGAAGAUUCCAGAAAAUGAAGGUUUUUUUUAUUUUUUAUUCUGAAUCAAAAAUUGUUUCUAUGAAAAAUAUUUCAAGUAACAUUAAAUCAUUAAAUUUUAUUAUAAACAUUCUUACCUAAUUAUCCAGAAGUACAUAUGCAUAUAUAUAUUAUAUAUAUAUAUAUAUGUCUGUGUGUGACUUAUACAGGGUGGCUCACAAAAAGCUUUACCAUUGUGUACAUAUUGUAUAAAUAGACCCAUUUAUAAUCCACCCGGUAUGUAGUCAGUGUUAUGUAUAACAGUGACCUCCCUUGUGGUACGGAAGUGUACGAACGCCAGAUGUGUUUCACAAAGUCUCUUUCCGGGCUGAUGCACAUUGGUAGUUGCUGUUAUAGAAAUUGUAUGAAUGUCCAUAUUCAGUAUUUUUUUUCUUUUUGUCCUAUCAAUAAAUUAAAAUCAUUUUUACUAAAAUGCUUUUGGUCUCUUUCUUUUUGUCUAUUUUUUAAUAAUUAUUUUUAUCUCAAAUAAACUUUAUUAAUAACACUGUAACACUAUUUUUGUCCUUGGGUAGCAACUGUUAGUACCCUGUGUGCAUAAGUGAAAGUAGGGUUUUGUAAUUACUUGCCUUUGUCUGUGGACUUGGAAAAU